rnacentral:sRNA from 1 species
UGAAACCAGAUGUUACUUCUCUUAGUUU